GAAAUGGCAUACAAGUUUAUACUUGAAAUGUAAAUUAAGAUAGCUACUUGCAAGUUGCUGAGUUGUGAAUGGUUUGUGGAUAUUCAUCUGAGGUGUUUUGGGUUGUGGGUUUGGUGUGUACCCAUUUUGUUCCUGGAUAAGGGGAUCUCAAUUUGACUCAGAGAUAGUCAUUGUUGCUUCACUUGCAAGUGGCCCUUUGAGGG
rnacentral:lncRNA from 1 species